GCACCUCAGACAGCUGAACUGAGACAGGAUGGAGUCACAGUCCCAAUUCCUCCUCUUCCUGGUACUCUGGGUCUCAGGUAUCUGUGGAGACAUCAUAAUGACUCAGUCUCCAGGAUCCCUGGCUGUGUCAGCAGGAGAGAGCACCACCAUCAGCUGCAAGUCCAGUCAGAGUCUUUUAUCAAGCUCCAACCAGAAGAACUACUUGUCCUGGUACCAGCAGAAACCAGGACAGUCUCCCAAACUGCUCAUUUCCUGGGCAUCUACCCAGGUAUCUGGAGUCCCUGACCGGUUCACUGGUAGUGGGUCUGGGAUGGAUUUCACUCUCACCAUCAGCAACCUCCAGCCUGAAGAUGUGGCAGAUUAUUACUGUCAGCAGGGUUAUAGUGCUCCUCCCACAGUGCUUCAGCCUGGGACACAAACCACCCCAGGUCAUGGGUGA